AGUUUGAUCCUGGCUCAGAACGAACGCUGGCGGCAGGCCUAACACAUGCAAGUCGAGCGCACUCUUCGGAGUGAGCGGCGGACGGGUUAGUAACGCGUGGGAACAUACCCUUUUCUACGGAAUAGCCUCGGGAAACUGAGAGUAAUACCGUAUACGCCCUUCGGGGGAAAGAUUUAUCGGAGAAGGAUUGGCCCGCGUUUGAUUAGAUAGUUGGUGGGGUAAUGGCCUACCAAGUCUACGAUCUAUAGCUGGUUUGAGAGGAUGAUCAGCAACACUGGGACUGAGACACGGCCCAGACUCCUACGGC
rnacentral:rRNA from 14 species